UCUAGUGGUCCCCGUGGUCCAACCAGGACUACUGGGUCGGUAGUGGCUACGACACUGCGUGUAACUGCUCUACUAGCCCUCCGAGUAACGACCAAACCUUCGAUCCCCCCACAAGCUCCUACACUUGUAAUAAAACCAACCCCUAGUACCCUACCAACCCUGGACGCUGGUCUUCGAUCACAAAGAGCUCCCUAACCGAGGUACCUAACUCCACUUCCGACUAACCCAAGAAAGCUCCUGUGGUAACGACCGUUAGUCCGGUGGUCUACCACAUAGGGGCCGUCACCAGCACCGGUUCUACUUACUUCCCGACUCGAGACCCUUCCACUUCUUACCCGUUAUAGACUUCUACAUGAACUUCCUCCUAAACGGAAGAGCGGACGUAAUGAGCCUUUCGAUAUCCUAUGGUGGUUAAUAACCCGACCAUCGACUUCCAAUAUUCCACCUCUACUUUCAUAGUUUCUUUUUACUCACACCUCCCCGCGUGCCCAUACUGUUACGGAAGAAGAGUUACUCCUGGUAUAAGUAGCGUGUGCCCGGAGCAAAGCUUCUCCCAUUUUAACACGGGAGCAAACAAUUACACCUCUAUAUGUUACAGUAACGAAGGUAAGAGUCAAACUUCGGUCGAGGUUUGUUACCGAGGUCAAGAAAGGGACCUUGUCAAGAAAAUGGCUCACUUACUAGUGGCCACAUACACUCUCGACACCAAGACCUCCUCUUUUUGGGUGACUACCAUAAUAGAAGGCCAACAUCAACAUAAACAUGUGAUAAAUUUAAGUUUAAGACGCUGCACGUCGAUAAGCGAUGACGAUUAUGACGUUCGUCUCUUAGGAAAAGGUAUUCCUACAGUAAACGGUUACGUUUAGUGUAGAUUGGAAAAGUAGAAGACACUACGAUUUACAUACUACGGUGAAGAAAAUUC
rnacentral:rRNA from 1 species